rnacentral:rRNA from 1 species
CGGGCGAAGAUAAGACGGAUUAGCGGCGGACGGGUGAGUAACACGUGAGUAACCUGCCUUUUACACAGGGAUAGCCUCGGGAAACCGGGAUUAAAACCUGAUGAAACUAUCAAAUCACAUGAUUAAGAAAGUUAAAACUCCGGUGGUAAAAGAUGGACUCGCGUCCCAUUAGCUAGUUGGUGAAGGUAACGGCCCACCAAGGCAACGAUGGGUAGCCGGCCUGAGAGGGUGAACGGCCACAUUGGAACUGAGAAACGGUCCAAACUCCUACGGGAGGCAGCAGGG